rnacentral:tRNA from 1 species
AAGAAGUUAGUUUUAUUUAAAACAUAAAUUUGUCAAAUUUAAAUAGCUUUUUAUCAUAGCACUUCUUU